CGCAAGCCUGACGGAGCAAGACCGCGUGGGGGAGGAAGGCUCUAGGGUUGUAAACCCCUUUUCUUUGGGAAGAACACAAUGACGGUACCUGACGUAUCAGCAUCGGCUAACUCCGUGCCAGCAGCCGCGGUAAUACGGAGGAUGCAAGCGUUAUCCGGAAUUAUUGGGCGUAAAGCGUCCGCAGGUGGCUUGUCAAGUCUGCUGUCAAAGACAGUAGCUCAACUACUGCAAGGCAGUGGAAACUGAAUAGCUAGAGUGCGGUAGGGGCAGAGGGAAUUCCCGGUGUAGCGGUGAAAUGCGUAGAGAUCGGGAAGAACACCGGUGGCGAAAGCGCUCUGCUGGGCCGCAACUGACACUGAGGGACGAAAGCUAGGGGAGCG
rnacentral:rRNA from 1 species